UUUCUUUCUGGAAAUUUUAAAAUUAGGAAUCCAAUUAUUUUCAUAGUUACAGAGCUACUCAGAUGACCUGUUUUGCUUUAGGUAAGUUGUGGUAGUUGAUACUUACGACACAUUUGUCCAAUUCAUCUGGGUUGUCAAAUAUAUGUGUGUACAGAAUUUUAAAUAGUUUUUCCCUUAUUAUUAUCCCUUUGAUAUCUGCAGUCUGUAAUGAGUGUAGUCCCUGUUUCAUCCUGAUGUUCAUAAGCUGACUUCUUUUUUUCUUUGUCAAGUUUAUUGAUCUUUUCAAAGAGACAGCUUUAUUUUCACUAGUUUCCCCUUUUGUUUUUUUCUGUUUUCAAUGCCAUUGAUUUCUGCUAUUAUCUGUAUUAUUUCCUUCCAUUUGCUUUAGGUUUUUUUUUUUUUUUUUGUAGAAUCAGUCUCAUUCCCAUGGUGCAGGCCGGAGUGCAGUGGUGCGAUCUCAGCUCACUGCAACCUCCACCUCCCGGGUUCAAGCGAUUCUCCUUCCUCAGCCUCCAGAAUAGCUGGGAUUACAGGUGGCUGCUACCAUGCCCAGCUAAUUUUUUUGUAUUUUUGGUAGAGACGGGGUUUUGCCUUGUUGGCCAGGCUCGUUUCAAACUCCUCACCUCAGGUGAUCCACCCACCUUGGCCUCCCAAAGUGCUCGUAUUACCGGCGUGAGCCACCGUGCCUGGCCUGCUUUAGGUUUCUUUUACCUGCUUUUUUCUUGUUUCUUGAGGGGGGAGCUUAAGUGUAUUCAUUUGAGACAUCCCCUCUUUUCUUUUAUCCCUUUUAAAAACUUUUGUAUAUAAUUAUUAUUGUAGGAAGUUAGGCUUGGGCCCGCAAACUAUGGAAGAACAGAAUAUACUAGGCCACUGCUUUAAUAGCUGGUGCCUGCUUGUUGCCCACCCCCACUCCCCCACCUUAGCUGCCUUGUCCAAACCAAAGAGUUUAGUCUAGAAUGGACAUUUACUAGCCUGCAAAAUAGUUCGCUACAUCUAUUCUUAUCAGCUUGCCUGACUGCCCAGGUCAUAAGUCUAAUACUUGAAAAGCCCCCGAGCUGACCAUGAUUGCAAUGCAUUAUGGGCUGCAACAAAAUACAGGGAGACAACCCUAAAAAAAAAAACAACAACCUAAAAGUCCCAACCCAAGAUCCAAUAGGCGACAUCCGGGAAUACUGUGACCCCAUAGUACUCAGCCUAUGAGGAACCGGGGGAGGCACUUCCACACUAGGGGAUAAAUUGCUUGUUGUAAGCCUACUGGGUGUGCCUGCCUACCAGACACCCGAUCUUGCAAGACUGUCAUUAAUAAUAAGUCGCACUUCUGCUGUUUUCCGGGUCUUGGAGUCCAUUCUUUGGGUUUGGACGGGUGAGUUUAUUUCUCACGAUUAUUUCCAGGCAGGCCUUGCCCAGUGGGUGGCUCAUGCUUGUAAUCCCAGCACUUUGAGAGGGUAAGCCUGGUGGAUCACCUGAGGUCACGAGUUCGAGACCAGCCUGGCUAACAUGGUGAAGCCCCGUCUCUACUAAAAAUACAAAAAUUAGCCGAGCGUGGUGGCGAGGGCCUGUGGUCCCAGCUACUCGGGAGGCUGAGACAGGAGAAUCACUUGAACCCAAGAGGCGGAGGUUGCAGUGAGCCGAGAUGGCAUCACUGCAUGCGACAGUGCAAGACUCCGUUUCAAAUAAUAAUAAUAAUAAUAAUAAUAACAAUAAUAAUAAUGGCACUACCUAAAGUUAUGCAAGCAUUUGCCUUAGAUAAAAUUUCAAGUUUUCAAAGCUGUUAGCUGGGUGGACGGCAUGGCUUUACUUCCUAUUUCUUGGUAUUUCCUAAUCUUGUUGAAAAAGUUUUUCUUUUUCUCAAAGGCUUAUUUCAGUGGAAGCCCAUCUGCAAAAUCUGUUAUUAAUUUAAAUUAGAAAAUCACUACAAGUCCCACUGACAUGUGGGUUAUUGUUUUUGCGAGUGACCUAAGGCCACCUCUCGGGGGAGCUGGGGGUUGCCUUCCCACGUCUGCGCGUCUGCACCCCAUGCCCGGGCCUGGAAGUCAGACUCGGGGGCGGUGCUGCAGCACCAGGCCUGCAGUCCUAAGCGCGGGGUCGCUCCGGGCCCCCGAGGGGGUGUGUCUUCUGCCCCUUUAACCUGGCAGGGGCAGUUCAAGUGGCCCGGGAAAUCAGCGAUUUGUAGGGUCAAGGGCUGGUGCUUUAAAAGAGAGGCGGAGGGGAGAGAGGGAUUUCCCGGUCUCUGCUGCACUCUGUCUAUCCGCUCGGUUACUCCUUUUCCUGGCCCGCGCGAACCCGCUGUGCCGCAGAGGCGGCCAUGUACCUUUAAGGCCCCGCUGCGCCUGCGCCUUGGGCUCUCCUGACGCGCCGAGCGGGACCCUGAGGAUCCAGCUGGCCGCAGGCUAUGGGCUGGGCGGCGGUUGAGACAGCGGCGAUAUUGGGAGGGGUAGGUGAGCGUCGCGAGGCAGCGUGAGCUUCUGAGUGAACGCGGUGCUUUUGGGAACGCGGGACGGGCGACCUGUGGCGCCAGGAGCGGGCCGAGGCGCGGCGGCGCGGCUGCCGUCUGGAUGGGAAGUUACGGUUUACAGCGAAGUCCACCCAGCGUUUCCGAGGUGAAGGCGCCGCGCCAGGCCGGGCGGGCGGUGAGUCCGGGACCCGCGGGUACACAGCUGGGUCGAGCUGCGGCUGUCGCAAGCUUUGUUGCGAGCGACGGAGGGCGAGGCGGGGUGGGGGGUUGGGAGGGCGUGUGUUCCGGCCCCGCCGGGGCUUAAGUUCCAUGCGUUCGAUUCCUCGCUUGCCGCUGCCGCCCGCAGCCCUCAUCUCUUGGGCGCUGGGGAAGAAACUCGCUGGCGGGUGUUCUGUGGCAUCCCAGGGGGUGGAGGGACGAGCAGCUUCGGGGGCACGUCCUCGUGUAUCCUGUGGAGGACCCUGACCCCGCACCCCACCCUCGAGGCCAGAAAUCGGUUGCCUCUGGGGACCUGAGAAGCGAGACCACUCGCGCCCCUGACUUGCAAAGUUGGGGUCUUUAUUGGCCUCCGGGAUUCUGCUCCUGGCGGUUUCUCCAGGCUGGUGAUGGGCAAGCCGGGUGUACCAAGUCCAGGAUGCACAUGAGGAGCGUUUGUAGCCGUCACUGAAUCACCUCAUGACUAGCGGGGCAGGCCUCUAAUUCACCGCAGGAUUUCCGAUCUCACUCUGUUGCCCAGGCUGGAGUGCAGUGGCACAAUCACAGCUGACCACAACCUUGACCUCCCAAGGCUCAGGUGAUCCUCCUGCCUCAGCCCCCAAGUAGCUGGGACCUACAGGCAAUCUGAAAGCAAAUCCUGUUUAGAUGCAGGCGAAGGUUCCUGGUGACCCAGGCUCUCACCUUACCGUCCCUUACCGUCCUCCUGAGGGUGUCCUGGAGCUUCAGUGCUGUGUGUUCUUGGCCUCCAUGCUGGGGGUGCCACCAAUUCCCACUGUCCAGGGCUUCCAGUGGACUCUCCGAGGUACUGAUGUAGAAACUUCCCCAUUCGGUGCACCAAGAGCAACCUCACACGGUGUGGGCCAAAUGAAGAGCUGCCAGAUCCCACAGGUGGCAAGGGCUCUGGAACAGCCACAUAAAGGCUGAUGACUUCAGGGACAUGAGCAUGGGAUACCUGUCAUCACCACCACCAUAAAGUUGGGAUUCAGGAAGGAGGUUAAUCAUAUAAAGAAUCCUGUGACCAGUAUGAGCUUCUCUCAGGCCACACAGGGCACUCAAGUGAACAGGGCAUGGGGGCCCUGGGGUCAUGGUAAGAAAGUGUCUCAUUGGUAAAACCUUUUCCUCUGGGGAGGUAAAUAAAUGAUUUGUUUCUUCU
rnacentral:lncRNA from 1 species